AGUGAACGCUGGCGGUAGGCCUAACACAUGCAAGUCGAACGGCAGCACAGUAAGAGCUUGCUCUUACGGGUGGCGAGUGGCGGACGGGUGAGGAAUACAUCGGAAUCUACUUUUUCGUGGGGGAUAACGUAGGGAAACUUACGCUAAUACCGCAUACGACCUACGGGUGAAAGCAGGGGAUCUUCGGACCUUGCGCGAUUGAAUGAGCCGAUGUCGGAUUAGCUAGUUGGCGGGGUAAAGGCCCACCAAGGCGACGAUCCGUAGCUGGUCUGAGAGGAUGGUCAGCCACACUGGAACUGAGACACGGUCCAGACUCCUACGGGAGGCAGCAGUGGGGAAUAUUGGACAAUGGGCGCAAGCCUGCUCCAGCCAUACCGCGUGGGUGAAGAAGGCCUUCGGGUUGUAAAGCCCUUUUGUUGGGAAAGAAAAGCAGCAGGUUAAUACCCCGCUGUUCUGACGGUACCCAAAGAAUAAGCACCGGCUAACUUCGUG
rnacentral:rRNA from 1 species